GACGAACGCUGGCGGCGUGCCUAAUACAUGCAAGUUGAGCGCUGAAGGUUGGUACUUGUACCCACUGGAUGAGCAGCGAACGGGUGAGUAACGCGUGGGGAAUCUGCCUUUGAGCGGGGGACAACAUUUGGAAACGAAUGCUAAUACCGCAUAAAAACUUUAAACACAAGUUUUAAGUUUGAAAGAUGCAAUUGCAUCACUCAAAGAUGAUCCCGCGUUGUAUUAGCUAGUUGGUGAGGUAAAGGCUCACCAAGGCGAUGAUACAUAGCCGACCUGAGAGGGUGAUCGGCCACAUUGGGACUAAGACACGGCCCAAACUCCUACGGGAGGCAGCAGUAGGGAAUCUUCGGCAAUGGACGAAAGUCUGACCGAGCAACACCGCGUGAGUGAAGAAGGUUUUCGGAUCGUAAAACUCUGUUGGUAGAGAAGAACGUUGGUGAGAGUGGAAAGCUCAUCAAGUGACGGUAACUACCCAGAAAGGGACGGCUAACUACGUG
rnacentral:rRNA from 1 species